rnacentral:rRNA from 1 species
CCUACGCGUGGCAGCAGUAGGGAAUAUUGCUCAAUGGGCGAAACCCUGAAGCAGCAACGUCGCGUGGAGGAUGAAGGCUUUCGGAUUGUAAACCCCUUUUGUUAGAGAAGAAAAUGACGGUAUGUAUCGAAUAAUCACCGGCUAACUCCGUGCCAGCAGCCGCGGGAAUACGGAGGGUGCAAGCGUUACUCGGAAUCACUGGGCGUAAAGGGCGCGUAGGCGGGAUAGCAAGUCAGAUGUGAAAUCCUAUGGCUUAACCAUAGAACUGCAUUUGAAACUGUUAUUCUAGAGUAUGGGAGAGGUAGGUGGAAUUCUUGGUGUAGGGGUAAAAUGCGUAGAGAUCAAGAGGAAUACUCAUUGCGAAGGCGGCCUGCUAGAACAUAACUGACGCUGAUGCGCGAAAGCGUGGGGAGCAAACAGGAUUAGAUACCCUAGUAGUC